UACGUAGGGUGCGAGCGUUGCCCGGAUUUAUUGGGCGUAAAGAGCGCGUAGGCGGCUCGGCACGUCCGUUGUGAAAUCGCCCGGCUCAACUGGGCGGGGUCAGCGGAUACGGCGUGGCUGGAGCAAGCUAGGGGGCAAUGGAAUUCCCGGUGUAGUGGUGGAAUGCGUAGAUAUCGGGAGGAACACCAGUGGCGAAGGCGGUUGCCUGGAGCUUUGCUGACGCUGAUGCGCGAAAGCGUGGGGAGCGAUCCGG
rnacentral:rRNA from 1 species